rnacentral:tRNA from 1 species
GUUAAUGUAGCUUAUACAAAGCAAAGCACUGAAAAUGCUUAGAUGGAUGCCACAUCCCAUAAACA